AGGACGAACGCUGGCGGCGUGCUUAACACAUGCAAGUCGAGCGGAAAGGCCCUUCGGGGUACUCGAGCGGCGAACGGGUGAGUAACACGUGAGCAACCUGCCCUUAGCUCCGGGAUAGCUCCGGGAAACCGGAAUUAAUACCGGAUAUGACCUAGGCCGACAUCGGCUGUGGUGGAAAGUUUUUCGGCUGGGGAUGGACUCGCGGCCUAUCAGCUUGUUGGUGGGGUAAUGGCCUACCAAGGCGACGACGGGUAGCCGGCCUGAGAGGGCGACCGGCCACACUGGGACUGAGACACGGCCCAGACUCCUACGGGAGGCAGCAGUGGGGAAUCUUGCGCAAUGGGCGAAAGCCUGACGCAGCGACGCCGCGUGGGGGAUGGAAGGCCUUCGGGUUGUAAACCCCUUUCAGCAGGGACGAAGCGAAAGUGACGGUACCUGCAGAAGAGCGCCGGCUAACUACGCGCCAGCAGCCGC
rnacentral:rRNA from 1 species